GCAUCGGUGGUGUAUGGAGCACAAAUCGGUUUUGUAGCAGGAAACACUGGUGCUACAGCGGUGAGCCGGGGUUCGAUUCCCCGCCGGUGCA